rnacentral:lncRNA from 1 species
GAUAUCUCAAUUUAAUAAGAAAUAAAACAAUAAACAUAUAAGCACACAUAUCAUUAUACUUUCAUGAUUUUACCUGCUGUUCAUGAUGCUGUAUAAAUUUUGCAACUUUUAUUAACCAUCGUAUAUACUUUAUAAAUAAUAAAUCACAUAACUGCAUGGCUCCAUAAGGUUAUAGUGAAACCAAAGUGAUAAGAAAAACUGUAUGAACUGUAUAAAACUGGAUGAAUACUGUAUGGCUGGGCUGUUAUGGCCCGUAUAUAAAUCAUAUCCACUCAACAGCCUGUAGCUGGAGUACCAAACUGUAUGGGGCGCAGAUCUGCUAUCCUAUGUCGCGACAUAGUCUUAUCUACGUGGUUUCUGCCUAACCUUAAUGGAGCAUAUUAU